CCACGCAAGUAGUGAGCAUCUCUUUCUUUUUCAGUAAACGCAAGCCCUUUGUUGUGUCGUGGGUCUCGCAAUAAAUUAUAUCCACUUGCAACAGAGACGCUCCAAGGUGUCAUGAUUUGUUCCUCCGUGCCGGCGGCGGAAUCUUCAACAUACGCAUCCUGAGCCCAGGCGGCGGCGGAGGUUGAUUUGGGUUCGACUUCAACCACCGGCGAGGGAGGUUUGGCAAUUUCUUUCACAGUGUUGUUCUCCACCACAACACUGCCGCUUCGCUCGCCGGCUCGACCAUUCGAAUCCAUCGACACCACCUUCAGAACCACAGGUUGCCGUCUCCCGGUGCCGGAGGGAGUGG
rnacentral:misc_RNA from 1 species